CAUCAGAAUUUCAAAUACCGGCGGGGUCACCCGUGGUGGACAGGUUUCAGCGUAGCUUCCAGACUAAGACAGACUAGAAAGAAGUAUUUGCCACUCUCUUCCAAAAAAAUUGGCCAUGAAAACCAAAUGGACAGCAGCAUAACGCUGUCUGAUACAGUGCCAGAAGGUGAGAGAAUGGUGCAAAAAGACCAGGCAGGGUUCCGCGCUGCCGUACACAGGGUUGCUAGGAGUCAGAAUUGACUCCACGGUACUAACAACAAAAAUAAAACAUCUCAUAUACUGCUAUGUUCCGGGUACUAUUUGAUACAUUCUGUCAUCUAAUCCUUGAAGGAAUUCGAGCUCGCUGAUUCUCAAAUGUUGCUGGGUACCAGAACACCUGGAGAACUUAGACAGCACACAGAAGAGCAGGCUGGUUGAAGGGGUUAUACCAACUUCCCAGUGUGACCUACAUUUCCUGGUGCCACUGAAAGAGAGAGAAAAUUCUGACGACAGUGUGCAGACUGGAUGAGUUGUUGACAAUAGUCGUCCUGGUUUUCUGUCAUCCAUCAUCAAGUCUCCAGCAAUCUGGCUUUCAUUCUUACGAUGUUAUUGAAACUAGACUCUUCUUGAUAGUUUUCAUUAAGCUCCUAAUUUGAAAACAUAAUGAUGAGAAGAGUUUUAUUCCAUUGUAUGGAUAUACCACCAUUUGUUUAUCUAUUCGCCUCUGUAUGGACAUUUGGAGAAUUUCCAGUUUUUGGCUAUUACAAAUAAAGUUGCGGUGAACAUUCACAUGCAAGUCUUUGUAUGGAAACCUACUUUCUUUUCUCUGGAGUAAAUACCUAGAAUUGGGACAACUGGAUCAUAUGGCAAAAAGGAAGUUACUGUGCUGUCUAGGGUGACGGAUUCUGACUACCAAGGGAAAACCGGACUACUAUUCCACAAUGGAGGUAAGAAACAAUAUGUCUGGAAUACAGGAGAACCCUCAGGAUACCUCUUAGUAUGACCAUGCCCUGUGAUUAAGGUCAAUCGAAAACUACAAUAACACAAUUCAGGCAAGAUUACUAAUGGCCCAGACCCUUCAGGAAUGAAGGUUUGGGUCACUCCACCAGGUAAGGAAUCAGAACCAGCUGGGGUGCUUGCUGGAGGCAAAGGGAAACAAAAUGGGUAGUGGAAGAACAUAGUUAUAAAUAUCAGCUAUAACCAUGUGACCAGUUACAGAAAGGAGGACUGUAAUUGUCAUGAGUAUUCCUCUUGAUUUUGUCAUGAAAAUGUUUGUAUGUGUAUAUGUACAUACAUAUAUAUAUGUUUUAUUCCCUCUCAUUUCUUUAUCAUGUAAUGUAAGAUGUAUUGACUUUGUAUCUUAGCAUUUAAGUGUUGUUAAUUUUAUAUGACAGUGUUUAAGUUAUGGGAUGUCAAGGAGAAUGGUAAACAUCACUCAAGAACUUUAUCUCCUCUUCUGGGGAAGGGUUGAAUGUGUUUCUGGUUGUAUCAGGGUAAAUGGAAUUAUGACCUUGUUAUUGUCUUUAUUUGGAGAUUAAGUAUGGUUUAAAGAGAUGUGUAUGAGUGCCGAGUUGACAAGGGGUGGACUUGUGAUGGUCAAUUUUAUGUGUCAACUUGACUGGGCCACUGGAGUGACUAGAUAUUUGGUUAAACAUUAUUUCUGGGUGUGUCUGUGCAGGUGUUUUGGAUGAGAUUAACACUGGAAUUGGUAGGCUGAGCAGAGGAGGUUGCUCUCUCCAAUGUGGGUGGACCUCAUCCGAUCAGGUGAAGGCCUGAAUAGAAUAAAAGGCUGAGUAAGAAGUGAUUCUUUUUCUCUGCCUGACUUUGUCUUUGAGCUGGGACAUUAGUCUUCUCCCACCUUUAAACUUGGCCUCAGACUGGCAUUUACAUCAUUGGCUCUGCUGGCUCUCAGGCCCUCAGGCUUGAACUGUAACUAUACCGUUGGCAUCCUGGGUCUCCAGCUUGCUGGCUGCACAUAUUGAAUUUCUCAGCCUCCAAAGUCAUGUAAGCCAAUUCUUAAUAGUAAAUCUCUCUCUCUCUCUGUAUGUUUGUAUAUCUAUCUAUCAAUCUAUCUAUCUAUCUAUCUCCAUCCUAUUGGUUCUCUUUCUCUGAAGAACCCAGACUAAUACAACUGUUUAAUGAUGUACAAGUCAAAAAUAAAUAAAUCGAAAGCUAAAACUUUGGGGUUGUAAUAUUUUCUGUGGACAAGAACGAUGCUCUUUGACAGGAAAAAUGUAUUUCCCUUAUUAUUAGCCAAGAAUAAUUUGCAUUGCUAUCAGAUUUCUACAAGUUAGCAUGAACCUUUUCAGAGUUUUAAAAUAGCCUAAUCAAAAGUAAAUAGUAAGAAAAAACAGGCUAGAUACCCUUAGAUAAUUAGAUAAACCUUUAAUAUGAAAACUAAUUUCAUAUUCAGCUCAAUCCAAACUGGCCAUGAAGAGGAAAAAAUACCCCAAAUAAAAUAAUUCCUUUUUGAUAUUCAAGUUAUAUUAUCAAUGUACACUUGAUCUAAGUUGGGUAUUUCUGAGCCUAUGUUACUAUUCAUCUCAGUAGAGCACAGCUUCUCUACGUGAGAGCUUAGAUUCUGAAAAAGUAUGUUAAGUAUCUAGAAAACAUACAAUAAAUUAGCAUUUUUUUCUGUCAUCUAUCCCCAGUUCCCCACUGUUCCAAAGUCUUGUGUAACUCCAAAUUUUACAAACAGAAUUAAUUUGUUGAAUUGUAAGAAGUUCCCUGUUUAUGAUUUAAAAACUCAAUAUUUAAAUCCACACUGAACAGUCUCCAGUUCAAUGAAUAUCACUAAUUAUGUUCAUAAAUAUUUAAAUAAAUUUUUGGUUGUUAAACUCUUUUGGACAAGAUACUCAAUUCCACCAAAUCAAGAGUGGAACAUAUUUAGAUUACCUUUUGUUUUUUUUUUUUUGGUAAGGAAGA